rnacentral:rRNA from 1 species
GAUGAACGCUGGCGGCGUGCCUAAUACAUGCAAGUCGAGCGAACGGACGAGAAGCUUGCUUCUCUGAUGUUAGCGGCGGACGGGUGAGUAACACGUGGAUAACCUACCUAUAAGACUGGGAUAACUUCGGGAAACCGGAGCUAAUACCGGAUAAUAUUUUGAACCGCAUGGUUCAAAAGUGAAAGACGGUCUUGCUGUCACUUAUAGAUGGAUCCGCGCUGCAUUAGCUAGUUGGUAAGGUAACGGCUUACCAAGGCAACGAUGCAUAGCCGACCUGAGAGGGGGAUGGGCCAGAAUGAAACUGAGACACGGGCCAGACGCCUACGGGAGGCAGCAGUAGGGAAUCUUCCGCAAUGGGCGAAAGCCUGAAGGAGCAACGCCGCGUGAGUGAUGAAGGUCUUCGGAUCUUAAAACUCUGUUAUUAGGGAAGAACAUAUGUGUAAGUAACUGUGCACAUCUUGACGGUACCUAAUCAGAAAGCCACGGCUAACUACGUG